rnacentral:lncRNA from 1 species
AUGGGUUGCUGUGGUUGUGGAGGUUGUGGUGGCUGCGGUGGCGGCUGUGGUGGUGGCUGUGGCAGCUGCACCACCUGCAGGUGCUACCGGGUGGGCUGCUGCUCCAGCUGCUGCCCCUGCUGCCGCGGCUGCUGUGGGGGCUGCUGCAGCACACCUGUGAUCUGCUGCUGCCGCCGCACCUGCUGCUCAUGUGGCUGCGGCUGUGGGAAGGGCUGUUGCCAGCAGAAAGGCUGCUGCCAGAAGCAAUGCUGCUGCUAG